rnacentral:rRNA from 1 species
GGCGUCGAGUGGCGGACGGGUGAGUAACGCGUGGGAAUCUACCCUUUAGUUGGGGACAACAUAUGGAAACGUAUGCUAAUACCGAAUAUGCUCUACGGAGUAAAGGUGCCCUCUCCUUGGAAGGUAUCGCUAAAGGAUGAGCCCGCGUUAGAUUAGCUAGUUGGUAAGGUAAAGGCUUACCAAGGCGACGAUCUAUAGCUGGUUUGAGAGGAUGAUCAGCCACACUGGGACUGAGACACGGCCCAGACUCCUACGGGAGGCAGCAGUGGGGAAUAUUGCACAAUGAGGGAAACCUUGAUGCAGCCAUGCCGCGUGUGUGAAGAAGGCCCGAAGGUUGUAAAGCACUUUCAGUAAGGAGGAAAGGUUAAGUGUUAACAGCACUUAGCUGUGACGUUACUUACAGAAGAAGCACCGGCUAACUCCGUGCCAGCAGCCGCGGUAAUACGGAGGGUGCGAGCGUUAAUCGGAAUUACUGGGCGUAAAGCGUACGCAGGCGGUUUGUUAAGCGAGAUGUGAAAGCCCCGGGCUCAACCUGGGAACUGCAUUUCGAACUGGCAAACUAGAGUGUGAUAGAGGGUGGUAGAAUUUCAGGUGUAGCGGUGAAAUGCGUANAGAUCUGAAGGAAUA